CAAGAAAACACCAUGUAGCUGUCAAAGGAGAAAGAUGUCAGAACCUUACUGGUGGAGCUUGAGACAGAGAAGCUGAGAGAUUUCUGAAGCACCAGUCUUUGCAGUACCUGAGUGUGGAGAGUCACUGUAGCUACUAAUGGGAUUCCCAAGGACAGCACAUGCUGAGGCCAGAGUCCCUUUGAGGAGCCCCAGCUGUGCGCAGACCCCCAGCUGUGUGAAGGCCUCCAGCCUUCUCCCACCCUGGAUUUCCACUCUUCAUCUGUCCUUGCUUUGUGGUCUCAGAUGAGAGCUUUGGUGCGUGCAGGUGAAGAAGGUUACAGGACGCUCACAUCCGGUUCUCCUGCUUAUCAUUUCCCUCACAGUCAGGAUGGUUUGCGGACAAACACCAGAGACUAUGUGACAGUGGUGGUGGUGGAGUGGACACCUCAAUCCCUUGGAGGGACGCCUGUAUAUUCUUUCAGCAUCUCUCCCCCCCUUGAAUCCCCACUGUACAGUAAAACGA